rnacentral:rRNA from 1 species
GAUGAACGCUGGCGGCGUGCCUAAUACAUGCAAGUCGAGCGAACAGACUAGGAGCUUGCUCCUCUGACGUUAGCGGCGGACGGGUGAGUAACACGUGGAGAACCUAUCUAUAAGACUGGGAUAACUUCGGGAAACCGGAGCUAAUACCGGAUAAUAUAUUGAACCGCAUGGUUCAAUAGUGAAAGACGGUUUUGCUGUCACUUAUAGAUGGAUCCGCGCCGCAUUAGCUAGUUGGGAAGGUAACGGCUUACCAAGGCGACGAUGCGUAGCCGACCUGAGCGGGGGGUCGGCCACACUGGAACUGAACCACGGUCCAGACUCCUACGGGAGGCAGCACUAGGGAAUCUUCCGCAAUGAGCGAAAGCCGGACGGGGCAACGCCGCGUGAGUGAUGAGGGGCUUCGGAUCGUAAAACUCUGUUAUUAGGGAAGAACAAAUGUGUAAGUAACUAUGCACGUCUUGACGGUACCUAAUCAGUAAGCCACGGCUAACUCCGUG